UACGGAGGGGGCAAACGUUGCUCGGAAUCAUUGGGCGUAAAGCGCACGUAGGCGGUCCGGUAAGUCGGAUGUGAAAGCCCUCGGCUCAACCGAGGAAGUGCAUUCGAAACUGCCGGACUUGAGUACGGGAGAGGGAUGCGGAAUUCCCGGUGUAGAAGUGAAAUUCGUAGAUAUCGGGAGGAACACAAGUGGCGAAGGCGGCAUCCUGGACCGAUACUGACGGUGAGGUGCGAAAGCGUGGGGAGCAAACAGG
rnacentral:rRNA from 1 species